rnacentral:lncRNA from 1 species
GCUACAUUGCACUUGCAGUUGGUAACGUACAGCAGGUGUGCUUGCGCUCCUGUUAGUUGCCAGCUGUUCAUACUUUGUGUUGAGUUCCUACAGUAUGAGUGUUGGUCUUAUGUUAUUUGCACAAGAGUUGGUUUUGAAAUCUCGUAACUCUGUUGAAAUUAUACCCUUUUGGUUAACACGCGUCGAGAAAGUCGCAUCAAUCAAAUGGUUCCUGCAAGAUGAUCCCUGACGUUAGUCAACGCUCCCCACUGGAGAAGCUGUGGCACGAAGCCGUAGUCCUGCCCUUGCGCCACCCAUGUGAAAAUAUCUUAAGACAGGAGCGGCGCUAGUUCGGAGGUGGCGGAACAGUUAACGUGGAAUAUAUAUGCUCGACUAGAGCUCCCGUGUCGACUUCUGCAGAGGAGGUCAGCAUCGACAUCGAGUAGCGUUCUGAACUUGGGUCGUUGCUGCUACAAUCUUGGAGGAUUUUGAUACGGGCCAUUGCAAUCUGCUGUCGACCUGAAAUAUUUAUGCUAUCCAAGCUUAUUUUGGGCGUCGACUUCAGCUUAAGCUCUGCGGGCGUGCCAGCUUUUGUUGGCAGUGGGUCGGAAGGCGGAGGAAAGGAUUGGACAGCGUCGCAACUUUGGCUGCAUGGAGUGAUGCCAGUCUAUGGUGGAGGUCGACGUCUCAAUGUCAACUUCUGUCGCCCAGGUUACCGUCUGGAGCUUCAACAAAGUUACGCAGAAUCAACACAAGUUGAUUGACUUGACGAUACUAAUGAUGAAGCACCAAGGAUGAACCAACUACAUGGAGCUUUGUGCUGCUGAUAAUCUGCUUGGGAACAACAGCUGCACAUCAUCGAUUUGUUGGUGGAAGAUGGACGUCAGAAUUGUCUGAGGAAAGCGUGGCAUGACCAUCCCGUCUCAUCCCUCUUCUCGUCCGUUGCCUCAUACCGUCUGCUGCCUCAUUCCGUCUGCUGCCUCAUCCCAUCCGUUGCCUCAUACCAUCCGCUGCCUCAUCCCGUCUGCUGCCUCACCGACGCAAUGCCAAGCAAUACAGCUGCUCCCUCAUAAAGAACUCCCAGAAUGUUUUCCGAGAAUCUGGCAUGAAGAUUGCUUCUGAGAAGUGGCCAGGUCUUCACAUACCUACUUUCAUUUCUCCUCUACUGGCCUUCACGAGAAUCUUACCAGUUUUCCUUGGUCACACCAAGUGGCAACGUUCAUCGAUGAACUGAACUUGCUGUCCUCUGCUGUGCUGUCUCCACUGCCAGAUUGUGCGCCGGGCGCGUCGCGUCAAUGCGACGUCAGAGCGUCGAAGUGUUGCAUCAUCUAAUGCUUUAGCAAAUGGCGAUCCUCGUGCGAGUGUCCGUUGUGUUGGCGCGUAGGCAGCAGACGUGCUGGCUCAACAUAUUCCUGCUGCGGCAACACAAGUGGACAAAAUUUCCUCUCCAAGGAUCAGCAAGCUAUGAAGUGCUGCAUGAACUUUGGCCGUUGCUGCUGCAGUCUUGGAGCCAUCUUCUUUUCAGGGCCAUCGCCAUCUUACGUCUACCUAAGAUUUUUAUAUGUGAUCCAAGCUCAUUUUGGGCCUCGACUUCAGCCCAAGCUCUUCGGGCGUGCCAGCUUUUGUUGGCAGUGGGUCGGAAGGCAGAGGGAAGGAUUGGACAGCGUCGCAACUUUGGCUGCAUGGAGUGAUGCCAGUCUAUGACGGAGACCGACGUCUGAAUGGCUACUGUGGUGGUCCUGAUAAGGUGGAGGGUACGACGAAGUUAUGUAACCAGCCAACGCUGCUUGAGGAUGCAAGAUGUUCAAGCAGCUACGAUGGACCAGCUACAAAUUGCUUAUUGCUGGUGGAAGGCGGCCGUCACAACGCCCUGCGGGAAGCUCUGCAUCGCAGUUGUGUACGCUGCCUCAUUCUCGCAGGUCCUCACAAUGACGCUCCUGAUCUCCCUUCGUAGAUGUGGCCUGGCUAGCAAUCCUGAAAAGUGGCCAGAUAUUCAGUUAUCAACUUGGAUUUGACUUACAAGAGAAGAGCCUCAGCGAAAUUUUCGCGCAACUUUUAUGCUCUUAUCAACUGUAAACGUUCAUUGAUGAACUGUAAGCUGGUCCUCUGUUGUGCGGCCUCCACUGCAAGGUUAUUAACGCGUUGCUGUGUGCAGCGGUCGAGUCGUGUUACGUCAACAUGAGAUCAUCGGAGUAUUGCAUCAUCAAAGGUUUUGGUUUAUUUGCGUACAUUGGAAGGUCUGACGUUUUUUUUAUUUUUGCCAUUUCAUUUUCUGUGCCCUCGUGAAUUUCAAUUCCCUGCUGUUUUCUUGUUGAAGAAAAGUUUAAUGACAAUUAAAAAUGGUUGGCCCUGCCUGACGUACAUUCCUCAUUGUGUAAUUUUGUCUGCUUUUGCAGCGUUGAUUGUGUGUAGAGGUUAAGUUUGUGUUAUCUCUUAACAACUGCUCUUAAAAAUAUGACAGUUGGAACAGCCCACUGCCACGCAUUAAUCCCUGCUGUUCUUUCAACGUCCAUCUCGAUUUGCUCUUGAAAUAUGUAAUGAAACGAUCGUGAAUUUGUUGUAAAAUUUUGCCGAGUAAAAAUGUGUAAGGAAUGAACGCAGUUUCAAGCUAUGGAGUCAGGCAGCGAGCUCAGCUGCCAUGAAAACCUUCAAACUUCUUAGAGUUGUAUUACGUCUUCAAUGUAGGCUCAUAUUUUAGUAGGGUUCAAGUUUACCUUAUAGACAGGAUUUAAUUUCGUGCGAGACCUGUGAAGUUUUGAUUUCAGUAUUAUUGGUGUGAAAUUAUUGUGCGUCUUCGCAGAUAACCGUACUGCUAACUGGAACUCUUGAAAAUCGGAUGAAAUCUCGAAGGUAAGUUAAUUUCUCUGAAAAAAAUUUCUUUGUUAUAUUUUGUAUUAAUCACGUGCAAUGAAACGUUUAUUUAUCUUACAAACGAAUGUUAGUUACUAAUUUGCGUGUUAGCCUGUUUAGAUAUAUUUUAAAGCAUUAUGUAAAUUUGCAUUCUUUCGAUGUUAACUUUGCCUUACUGAAAUAAAAUGCACUCAACUCGA